rnacentral:rRNA from 1 species
UACGUAGGGUCCGAGCGUUUGUCCGGAAUUAUUGGGCGUAAAGGGCUCGUAGGCGGUUUGUCACGUCGGAAGUGAAAUCUUACAGCUUAACUGUGAACUUGCUUUCGAUACGGGCAGACUUGAGGCAUUCAGGGGAGAACGGAAUUCCUGGUGUAGCGGUGAAAUGCGCAGAUAUCAGGAGGAACACCGGUGGCGAAGGCGGGUCUCUGGGCCGAUACUGACGUGGAGGAGCGAAAGCGUGGGGAGCGAACAGG